rnacentral:rRNA from 1 species
UACGUAGGGUGCAAGCGUUGUCCGGAAUUAUUGGGCGUAAAGGGCUCGUAGGCGGUUUGUCGCGUCGGGAGUGAAAACCCAGGGCUUAACCCUGGGCUGGCUUUCGAUACGGGCAGACUAGAGGUAUGCAGGGGAGAACGGAAUUCCUGGUGUAGCGGUGAAAUGCGCAGAUAUCAGGAGGAACACCGGUGGCGAAGGCGGCAUCCUGGACCGGCAUUGACGCUGAAUAGCGAAAGCCAGGGGAGCAAACGGG